AAAAAUAAUUUUAAUUUAAAAUAAGGAUGUUUUAGUAAUUUAAUAUAUAUGAAUUAAAAAAAAAUAAAAAGUUGAGGGGUGGUCGUGGCCUUAAAAAUAAAAAAUAAUUUUAAUUUAAAAUAAGGAUGUUUUAGUAAUUUAAUAUAUAUGAAUUAAAAAAAAAUAAAAAGUUGAGGGGUGGUCGUGGCCUUCCCACGUCCCCCCUCAGUUCCG
rnacentral:lncRNA from 1 species